rnacentral:rRNA from 1 species
GACGAACGCUGGCGGCGUGCUUAACACAUGCAAGUCGAACGAAGAGCGACGGAAGCUUGCUUCUAUCAAUCUUAGUGGCGAACGGGUGAGUAACGCGUAAUCAACCUGCCCUUCAGAGGGGGACAACAGUUGGAAACGACUGCUAAUACCGCAUACGAUCUAACCUCGGCAUCGAGGAUAGAUGAAAGGUGGCCUCUACAUGUAAGCUAUCACUGAAGGAGGGGAUUGCGUCUGAUUAGCUAGUUGGAGGGGUAACGGCCCACCAAGGCGAUGAUCAGUAGCCGGUCUGAGAGGAUGAACGGCCACAUUGGGACUGAGACACGGCCCAGACUCCUACGGGAGGCAGCAGUGGGGAAUCUUCCGCAAUGGACGAAAGUCUGACGGAGCAACGCCGCGUGAGUGAUGACGGCCUUCGGGGUGUAAAGCUCUGUUAAUCGGGACGAAAGGCCUUCUUGCGAAUAGUGAGAAGGAUUGACGGUACCGGAAUAGAAAGCC